rnacentral:rRNA from 2 species
UACGGAAGGUCCGGGCGUUAUCCGGAUUUAUUGGGUUUAAAGGGAGCGUAGGCCGGGGAUUAAGUGUGUUGUGAAAUGUAGGCGCCCAACGUCUGACUUGCAGCGCAUACUGGUUCCCUUGAGUACGCGCAACGCCGGCGGAAUUCGUCGUGUAGCGGUGAAAUGCUUAGAUAUGACGAAGAACCCCGAUUGCGAAGGCAGCCGGCGGGAGCGCAACUGACGCUGAAGCUCGAAGGUGCGGGUAUCGAACAGG